rnacentral:rRNA from 2 species
AGUAACGGCGAGUGAACAGGGAAAAGCCCAAAUUUGUAAUCUGGCACUUUUUACAAGUGUCCGAGUUGUAAUUUGUAGAGCUGUUAUCCGUGCUGGACCAUGUACAAGUCUGUUGAAAAGCAGCAUCAUUGAAGGUGAAAAUCCUGUAGAUGAUAUGGACUACCAGUACUUUUGUGAUACGGUUUCUAAGAGUCGAGUUGUUUGGGAAUGCAGCUCAAAGUGGGUGGUAAAUUCCAUCUAAGGCUAAAUAUAAGUGAGAGACCGAUAGCAAACAAGUACCGUGAGGGAAAGAUGAAAAGAACUUUGAAAAUAGAGUUAACAGUACGUGAAAUUGCUGAAAGGGAAACGUUUGAAGUUAGUUUUGUAUUCGUUGGAUCAGCUUCGCAAGGAGUGUAUUCUGAUGAUAAGCAAGUCAACAUCAAUCUAUGAGUGCUGGAGAAGGGUUUUGAGAAUGUAGCAAUUUAAUUGUGUUAUAGCUUGAGACUUGGAUACAGUGCUUUGGAUUGAGGAACGCGUAGUAAGCUUUGAGCGGAUUCGAAAGG